AGGAAUAUUUUGUUGAUGUUUGACCAUCAAAAUCUUAAAAAUAAAGAAGUUGUCUAAAAAUGUGCUACAAUACGAUUAUAGUAUAAUGGGCAUGUUCCAAAAAAUAUAAAUUCGCAAAUAAAUCAUUGUAUUGCAUAGAUUAAGUCUUCAUUACUUACAAUACAUAGGAAAUUAGGAAAAAUGCCAUGAUAUCAUUUUAAAAAUUAAAUUAUAAUUUCAAACUUGAACAGUCCCGGUUGAGUUGUGACGUACAUAGCCUUCACCAAUCACGUUUCAGAUCGUAGAAAGGGAAGUUUCAUAUCAUAUGUUGGUAUGCCUGGCUCACGCGUAUCGGGCGCAGCCAUUUUAGAUUUUGUUAUUAUUUUUCUUCGUGCUUUUCAGUUCAGCGGUAAAUUUUCUUGGUUAUAACUUUUAAUUUUCGUAGAAAGGGAAGUUUCAUAUCAUAUGUUGGUAUGCCUGGCUCACGCGUAUCGGGCGCAGCCAUUUUAGAUUUUGUUAUUAUUUUUCUUCGUGCUUUUCAGUUCAGCGGUAAAUUUUCUUGGUUAUAACUUUUAAUUUUAUCUAAAUGGGCUCAAAAGUAUGAAAAAACUUUUUUGGAUCAUUUUCGAAUGGUGACGGAGUAUAUGGUGGACAGUUUUUAUAUAGACAAUUUAAAAUACUUGUGCUGAUAUAAAGAAGUUAAAAUAUCAAGAGCAUAGAGUGAAUCAUAAUGAUAACAGUUCGAUUGGAUACGUUCAAUAAAAAGAGGGCUUCUGUACAAUCAAACAAAAAGUACACCUGAACAUUAGGUGACUGCAAGGGUAAAAGUGUACAGAAAGUGGAGCGAACUAAAUUUUUAAGCUGUGCAGCUAACACUGGCGGCAUGUAAACAUUAUGUCAUACAUAACAAAUAAAAUCAAGAAAGGUACCACGGCUAUAAUUUAUGUAGAGUGAACGAAGAUAACAUCUUACUUUCUAGAAAUCUUAAUUGCCAAUCUUCUCAUAAUAUUUAUAUUUUAUGUUCUUGUAGCGGGUUAAUUGUAAAUUGACUGCCCUGAUAUUCAGAAGU